rnacentral:rRNA from 1 species
UACGGGGGGAGCAAGCGUUGUUCGGAUUUACUGGGCGUAAAGGGCGCGUAGGCGGCGCAACAAGUCACUUGUGAAAUCUCCGGGCUUAACCCGGAGCGGUCAAGUGAUACUGUCGUGCUAGAGUGCGGAAGGGGCUACUGGAAUUCUUGGUGUAGCGGUGAAAUGCGUAGAUAUCAAGAGGAACACCUGAGGUGAAGACGGGUUGCUGGGCUGACACUGACGCUGAGGCGCGAAAGCCAGGGGAGCAAACGGG